UACGAAGGGGGCAAGCGUUGUUCGGAAUUACUGGGCGUAAAGGGCGCGUAGGCGGUGCACUAAGUCAGGCGUGAAAUCUCCGGGCUUAACUCGGAAAGGUCAACUGAUACUGUGCGACUAGAGUGCAGAAGGGGCAACUGGAAUUCUCGGUGUAGCGGUGAAAUGCGUAGAUAUCGGAAGGAACAUCAGUGGCGAAAGCGACUUCCUGGACCAGUACCGACGUUCAGGCACGAAAGCGUGGGGAGCAAACAGG
rnacentral:rRNA from 1 species